GUAGGUGGCAAGCGUUGUCCGGAAUUAUUGGGCGUAAAGCGCGCGCAGGCGGUUCUUUAAGUCUGAUGCGAAAGCCCACAGCUCAACCGUGGAGGGUCAUUGGAAACUGGAGAACUUGAGUACAGAAGAGGAAAGCGGAAUUCCACGUGUAGCGGUGAAAUGCGUAGAGAUGUGGAGGAACACCAGUGGCGAAGGCGGCUUUCUGGUCUGUAACUGACGCUGAGGCGCGAAAGCGUGGGGGAGCAAACAGGAUUAGAUACCCUGGUAGUCCACGCCGUAAACGAUGAGUGCUAAGUGUUAGGGGGUUUCCGCCCCUUAGUGCUGCAGCUAACGCAUUAAGCACUCCGCCUGGGAGUACGGCCGCAAGGCUG
rnacentral:rRNA from 1 species